rnacentral:rRNA from 1 species
UCUGCAACUCGACUCCAUGAAGCUGGAUUCGCUAGUAAUCGCGCAUCAGCCAUGGCGCGGUGAAUACGUUCCCGGGCCUUGUACACACCGCCCGUCAAGCCAUGGAAGCCGGGGGGUGCCUGAAGUGCGUGACCGCAAGGAGCGCCCUAAGGGUAAAACCGGUGACUGGGGCUAAGUCGUAACAAGGUAGC